AACACCCUCCCCUACCCGCCCAAACCCCUCCCCUACCCACUCAACACCCUCCCCAACCCGCACAAACCCCUCCUCGACCCGCAAAGUCUCAGAGACGAAUAGCACUGCCACUGAGAACUCAUUUGAGAUUGAAGAGAAACCGUCCCUGUUGAAAUUUAAGAACAAAAAGCCUUCAAAACUGCCUCAAAGAAGUAUGUCUCUAAUGACCCUCAACAAAGGAGAGGAUGACGGAAAGGGACACAAGAAGCCUUCCAAAAAGAACUGCAUUCAGUCCUGAGAUGAAGAGAGGAAGGACAGGAUCAGCUGGGAGAGACAGAGCCAGAGGACAUUUGAAGUAAUUGCCAGUAUCAGAUGCAGUAUUAGAUGGAGUAUAUUAAUGACAUGCCAUGGCAGGACUAUAGUGAUUACAUGUCAUGGCAGGAGUAUAGUGAUUACAUGUCAUGGCAGGAGUAUAGUGAUUACAUGUCAUGGCAGGAGUAUAGUGAUUUCAUGUCAUGGCAGGAGUAUAGUCAUGGCAUGGCAGGAGUAUAGUGAUUUCAUGUCAUGGCAGGAGUAUAGUGAUUACAUGUCAUGGCAGGAGUAUAGUGAUUACAUGUCAUGACAGGAGUAUAGUGAUUACAUGUCAUGGCAGGAGUAUAGUAAUGACAUGUUAUGGCAGGAGUAUAGUAAUCACAUGUCAUGGCAGGGGUAUAGUAAUUGCAUGUCAUGGCAGGAGUAUAGUAAUGACAUGCCAUGGCAGGAGUAUAUGAAUUGCAUGUCAUGGCAGGAGUAUAGUAAUGACAUGCCAUGGCAGGAGUAUAUGAAUUGCAUGUCAUGGCAGGAGUAUAGUAAUGACAUGUCAUGGCAGGAGUAUAGUAAUGACAUGUCAUGGCAGGAGUAUAGUAAUUACAUGCCAUGGCAGGAGUAUAAUGAUUACAUGUCAUGGCAGGGGUAUAGUAAUGACAUGCCAUGGCAGGACUAUAGUGAUUAGAUGUCAUGGCAGGAGUAUAGUGAUUGCAUAUCAUGGAAGGAGUAUAGUAAUGACAUGUCAUGGCAGGAGUGUAGUAAUGACAUCCCAUGGCAGGAGUAUAGUAAUGACAUGUCAUGGCAGGAGUAUGGUGAUUAGAUGUCAUGACAGGAGUAUAGUAAUUGCAUAUCUUGACAGGAGUAUAGUAAUUGCAUAUCAUGACAGGAGUAUAGUAAUGGCAUGGCAUGGCAGGAGUAUAGUGAUUACCUGUCAUGGCAGGAGUAUAGUAAUGACAUGUCAUGGCAGGAGUAUAGUAAUUGCAUAUCAUGGCAGGAGUAUAGUAAUGACAUGUCAUGGCAGGAGUAUAGUAAUGACAUGUCAUGGCAGGAGUAUAGUAAUUGCAUAUCAUGGCAGGAGUAUAGUAAUGACAUGUCAUGGCAGGAGUAUAGUAAUGACAUGUCAUGGCAGGAGUAUAGUGAUUACAUAUCAUGACAGUAGUAUAGUAAUUACAUGUGCUGCUCAUUCUAUGUACUACUAUAAUGUUCCUUAGUGAGACUUGGUGUAAGACUGUGUGGACCGCCGCUGCCUUAUCAGUUAGAGUAGUGAGAGUCUUCAAUGUCAGACCCACUAUUCCUUUAAUAUGAGCCUAAUGUUGUUGUUUAGCAGGAGUGAUUUGAUGCCACAUACCAGUGAGUGUCUCCUGAGUCCUGCCCGUCUCAGAUGGCAUUCACCACCUGUGUCAGGGAAAUGCCAAUACAGACUUGAUCGGUCAGUCAUUCGAUGCUUGAAAACUGAUCUUAUGUUACUGCUCACAUGUCAUAAGAAAUCAACAUGUUGUAUUGCUCUUCCCUGUAUCACUGCCAUUGAAACGGCAGCUUUUAAACCUAAAUAAAUGGAUGUCGUUAAAAACACAUCUAUCCCAGGUAUAGAUGUAUUCUGAAUGUGUCUAUCCUUCAGGUUACUAUGGAGAAGGAAAAGUGAUCAGCUCUCUUCUCUCACACAAGGUAUCACCUUACCAAGGGCACUUUGUUCAAUUGUUAGUGGACUGGCCCUUAUCUCCACUGGAGUGUGUAGUGUCUGAAUAAUGUUUUAACAGAUCAGACACCGAUCACGCACUUCUGCUGUUAACAUGCAACAAUACAUUGUCUCUAAACCUAUGUGACAUUAUAACCAUGUCACUGGUCCAUGGCUAUAUUUGUCAUCUUAAUAAAAAACGAAGCAAUAGGGACUAAGACAUAUUUUGCUUAUUUUUUAUGCAUAGCAAUUACAAAGAGCAAAGCACAUUUUCUCAUUGAAAUUAUAGUGUGAUGUCUUGUAUAUAAAAAUGCCAAAGAUGUAUGAGACCACACGUACUUCAUGUAAUUGACUGACUUCCUAUCUCUGAUGUGUGACUGUUGUUUUAUAUGAAAUCAUAAUAUUAAAAACAACUUUUGUA